rnacentral:rRNA from 1 species
GAUGAACGUUGGCGGCGUGCCUAAUACAUGCAAGUCGAACGAAGACUGUAGUAAUACUGUCUUAGUGGCGAACGGGUGAGUAACGCGUGGGUGACCUGCCCCGAAGUGUGGGAUAACAGUUCGAAAGGAUUGCUAAUACUGCAUAAUAUCCAAGAGAUUAGACGCUUUUGGAUUAAAGGAGUAAUUCGCUUCGGGAGGGGCCCGCGUCCCAUCAGCUAGUUGGUAAGGUAAUGGCUUACCAAGGCGAUGACGGGUAGGGGACCUGAGAGGGUGGCCCCCACAAUGGAACUGAAACACGGUCCAUACACCUACGGGUGGCAGCAGUAGGGAAUAUUAGUAAUGGGCGAAAGCCUGAACUAGCAACGCCGCGUGUGCGAAGAAGGCCUUCGGGUUGUAAAGCACUUUUGUAGAGGAUGAGGAAGGACGGUACGUCUCAGAAUAAGUACUCGGCUAACUACGUG